GAUGAACGCUGGCGGCGUGCCUAAUACAUGCAAGUCGAGCGAACAGACGAGGAGCUUGCUCCUCUGACGUUAGCGGCGGACGGGUGAGUAACACGUGGAUAACCUACCUAUAAGACUGGGAUAACUUCGGGAAACCGGAGCUAAUACCGGAUAAUAUAUUGAACCGCGUGGUUCAAUAGUGAAAGACGGUUUUGCUGUCACUUAUAGAUGGAUCCGCGCCGCAUUAGCUAGUUGGUAAGGUAACGGCUUACCAAGGCAACGAUGCGUAGCCGACCUGAGAGGGUGAUCGGACACACUGGAACAGAGACGCGGUCCAGACUCCUACGGGAGGCAGCAGUAGAGAAUCGUCCGCAAUGGGCGAAAGCCUGACGGAGCAACGCCGCGUGAAUGAUGAAGGUCUUCGGAUCGUAAAACUCUGUUAUGAGGGAAGAACAAAUGUGUAAGUAACUAUGCACGUCUUGACGGUACCUAAUCAGAAAGCCACGGCUAACUACG
rnacentral:rRNA from 1 species